rnacentral:rRNA from 1 species
GUAAGGAGUUUUCGGCAAUGGGGGGAACCCUGACCGAGCAACGCCGCGUGAGUGAUGACGGCCCUAUGGGUUGUAAAGCUCUGUUAUAAGGGACGAACAGCUUUGCUAGGAAAUGAGCAGAGUCUGACGGUACUUUAUCAGAAAGCCACGGCUAACUACGUGCCAGCAGCCGCGGUAAUACGUAGGUGGCAAGCGUUAUCCGGAAAUAUUGGGCGUAAAGAGUGAGCAGGCGGCAGAUUAAGUGUGAGGUUAAAGCGUGGGGCUCAACCCCAUAAAGCAUUGAAAACUGAUCAGCUAGAGUACGAGAGAUGUGAAGGGAACUCCAUGUGUAGCGGUGAAAUGCGUAGAUAUAUGGAAGAACACCAGUGGCGAAGGCGCUUCACAAGCUCGAAACUGACGCUCAGUCACGAAAGCGUGGGUAGCAAAUAGGAUUAGAUACCCGAGUAGUCC